AUCUCUCGCAACUGCAAUGAGACGCUCCUGCUGUUUGUUCACAUGAUUCACACUGUCCUGAAUGCGCCUCCAUUCUGAUGUGGGCAACACGGUCACUUUGCGCAGGUCUACAGACUGUGUAAACACUAGACACUGUUGUGUGUGAAAAUCCCAGGAGAUCAGCAGGUUCUGAAAUACUGAAACCAGCCCAUCUGGCACCAACAAUCUUGAUAACCAGCAUUAACUUCUUCAGCAGUUUGAGCAACAGUAGCUCGUCUGUUUGAUUGGAUCACACAGGCCAACCUUUGCUCCCAACGUGCAUCAUUGACCCUUGGCCACCCAUGACCCUGUCACCGGUUCUCCACUGUUCCUUCCUUGGUCCACUUUUGAUAGAUAAUGACCACUGCAGACCGGGAACACCCCACAAGAGCUGCAGUUUUGGAGAUGCUCUGAUCCAGUCGUCUAGCCAUCACAACUUGGCCCUUGUCAAACUCACUCAAAUCCUUAUGCUUGCCCAUUUUUUCUGCUUCUAACACACCAACUUUGAGGACAAAAUGUUCACUUGCUGCCUAAUAUAUCCCACCCACUAACAGGUGCCAUGAUGAGGAGAUAAUCAGUGUUAUUCACUUCAUAACAUUAUGAAGUGUUAUUCAUAAUGUUAUGCCUGAUCAGUGUAUAAUUAAUUGUAUGCUGGUGCUCUUCUGCCUCUUCUUUCAACUAAUAUUCUUCUUUUUUGACUUUUUACUGUUUGCUUUGUUACUCUGCUGCAAAUUCUCUCUUUUUGUUUGGCCAGUGUCUUUCACACAAUCAAUCACACAAAGAAAGUCACAGCUAGCAGUAGAUUAUUUUAAGUAGUACUGAAUGCAUUGGAUUAAAGGCUUUGUACAAGACUCAAUAGGGAGCAUGUUGCAGAACUAGUUUAAUUAAUGCACAGCUCAAAGAAACAGAGAACAGUUUCAAAAGGGGCAGAUGAGAGAAGGAAGUCAGAUUCUUGUUAUGACAAUCUCUGUCUCCAGGUCUUAUUAGAAAUGAGGACAAAUGGUCUUGCAAGUUUGCGGUUGCUGGGGUUGUUUCCCACCUUGUGGAUAGGCUCCAGUGUCCCUGUGACUAAAAAAAAGGCACCUUUUUCUUAUUGCACUUU